AUCACAAAAAUAUCAUAUACCCUAACAUUUAUAAAAAUAAAGGAUAGAAAUUCAUAAAUAAAUAAUAAGUAGGGUCUCAAGAAGAUAGAACCCGUUAUCACCACUAUUUAGCACCGUUUGACUCCACUUUGUUCGAGUCCACCAAAAUAUAAAAAUUAAAAUCCCUAUUUACAAUUUCCCCUAGUAGGACGUACGUUUCUAAAAAUGACACAAUGCUUAGAUCAUCAACUGAAAACCACUUCAAUGUCGUCCUUCAAUCAAAAUGAUUAAUUCUAUGGACAUGAAACAAAUUCGCGUACAGCCACCGUUUGAUUCCUUUUCUCCUGCAAUCUUAGUACAAACUCUUUCGAAUUCUUCGACCUAUAUAUAUAUAUAUAUAUGAAAUAUCAUUUUUAGAAUUGUUGCAAAAUAUAUAAAAAUAUACGAAGAAGAAG
rnacentral:lncRNA from 1 species